GAUGAACGCUGGCGGCGUGCCUAAUACAUGCAAGUCGAGCGAAUGGAUUAAGAGCUUGCUCUUAUGAAGUUAGCGGCGGACGGGUGAGUAACACGUGGGUAACCUGCCCAUAAGACUGGGAUAACUCCGGGAAACCGGGGCUAAUACCGGAUAACAUUUUGAACCGCAUGGUUCGAAAUUGAAAGGCGGCUUCGGCUGUCACUUAUGGAUGGACCCGCGUCGCAUUAGCUAGUUGGUGAGGUAACGGCUCACCAAGGCAACGAUGCGUAGCCGACCUGGGAGGGUGAUCGGCCACACUGGGACUGAGACACGGCCCAGACUCCUACGGGAGGCAGCAGUAGGGAAUCUGCCGCAAUGGACGAAAGUCUGACGGAGCAACGCCGCGUGAGUGACGAAGGCUUUCGGGUCGUAAAACUCUGUUGUUAGGGAAGAACAAGUGCUAGUUGAAUAAGCUGGCACCUUGACGGUACCUAACCAGAAAGCCACGGCUAACUACGUGCCAGCCGCCGCAGUAA
rnacentral:rRNA from 1 species